CGCGGCCUAUCAGCUUGUUGGUGAGGUAACGGCUCACCAAGGCGACGACGGGUAGCUGGUCUGAGAGGAUGAUCAGUCACACUGGAACUGAGACACGGUCCAGACACCUACGGGUGGCAGCAGUCGAGAAUCAUUCACAAUGGGGGAAACCCUGAUGGUGCGACGCCGCGUGGAGGAUGACAGCUCUAGGGUUGUAAACUCCUGUCAUGAGAGAGUAAAGGCUUGCCGUUAAUAGCGGUCGGGUCCUGAUAGUAUCUCAAGAGGAAGGGACGGCUAACUUCGUGCCAGCAGCCGCGGUAAUACGAAGGUCCCAAGCGUUGUUCGGAAUCACUGGGCGUAAAGCGUGCGUAGGCGGCAUGGUAAGUCGGAUGUGAAAGCCCGGGGCUCAACCCCGGAACUGCAUCCGAUACUGCCAAGCUAGAGUAGUGGAGGGGAGUCUGGAAUUCACGGUGUAGCAGUGAAAUGCGUAGAGAUCGUGAGGAACACUAGUGGCGAAGGCGAGACUCUGGACACUAACUGACGCUGAGGCACGAAGGCUAGGGUAGCGAAAGGGAUUAGAUACCCCUGUAGUCCUAGCAGUAAACGGUGCGCGUUUGGUGUGGGCGGGUUCGACCCCGUCCGUGCCGGAGCUAACGCGUUAAACGCCCCGCCUGGGGAGUACGG
rnacentral:rRNA from 1 species